UAAAUGAUGAUAUUACAAAAUACAAUAUAAAAAUCUGAAGAAAUUAAAUUUGUAUUCGUGACGCAAAUUUAAGUAUUUAUUUUUAAACUUAUGCAUUUCUUUAUUGUACUCUUAUAUUAAAUAAUUGUUCAAUUAUUAAUUGAUACUAGUAAUUGUGUUUCAUUAGUAUAAAAAUCAUUAUGGACAGUAUUUUGGAUCGUAUUUUUUUAUCUGCAUAGCAUUAAUGGUAAUUGUGCUAGUGCUACAUCAAACGCAAGCUAAGAAAUACUACGUACAAUCUACAACUAAAGUAAGUAUUAACAUCACUUAACUGUUAAGUCUUUUUAGUCUUACGUUGUAUUGUACGAUUACAAGUUGGUAUGUUUGUGAUUCCUUUACGCCAAAACAACCGAACUAUUAUUGAUAAAUUUUCCUACAGAAACAAUUUUAAGCAAUGAAAAGCAUAUGGAUAUGUUUUGUUGCAAAAAUUAAAGUUGUAGUGUUCAAAAUAAAGGAGUAAAGUUGGCUUGGUAUUGAAUCAUUGCUAAGUUCACUUUAUAUUUAAAUUAAGUACUUAAAGUAAUAUUUGAUUAUAACUCAACUGAUACGCUGCAUAUCAAUCGUGUGCAUCUCAAAAUCGACAAUUGGCAAUAGUCAGCUCCCAAGCAGAAGAAACUGAUCUUGAAAAUACCAUAAUCGCAUCAGGCAAGUCAACCGAACAAUUCUGGCUUUCCGGUACAGAUCAAGCGCAAGAAGGUGCGUUUGUUUGGUUUUCUACAGGAAAACCUUUCACCUACAAUAAAUGCAGUUGCUUGCAGUUAUAUUCCAUAGCACCUGGUAAAAUUGGCUGGAAUGAUAGAGCGUGCUCAGUUCAGAUGUACUACGUCUGCGAGGAUAAAACUUGCAAAAAGAAUAACAAUUCUAAUAAUAAUUGCAAUAAUAAUUGUGGAUGUAAUGAUCAUUCGGAUGGUGUGGUUACAACCCGUAUUAACCAACUAUUGUAAAUUUAUUACCAAAUUUAUUAACUUGUAUAUAUUGUAAAUAUGUGAAAUUUUAAUCAAAAAUUUUAAAAAUCUUAAA